UUUUAGAUGUUAAACAUUAUGUCAGUGUUUUUUCAAUAAGAAUUUUAAUUAGUUUACAAUGAAGUUAGCUAAAUAUUAAUAAGGAAAAAUGUGUCAUUUAUAUUGGUCUUGAUAUGAGAGCAAUAAGCACAAAGAGGCUUGAAUAUUAUUUAUUUUUUAGUACAAAGGAUGACCAUAUGCCCAAUUAUUUUUUUAAUCUUUCUUAUUUAACUAAUUUUGUAAAGGAUAACAUAUUAAGAAGUGUUACUUGAAAUUAAUUUUGUUAUUAUAGUUAUUAGAUAGAAUAAGAAAGAGUGAGAAGUUAUAAGAUAUGUGAGAAGAUUUUUUUAUAUAUGAAAAUGUUUUUUGAAAAAGGAAUUACACUUGAUGAACAUUAAAACCCACU
rnacentral:lncRNA from 1 species